rnacentral:rRNA from 2 species
CAAUAGGCUCAGGACGAACGCUGGCGGCGUGCCUAAUACAUGCAAGUCGAACGAACUCUGGUAUUGAUUGGUSYUUGCAUCAUGAUUUACAUUUGAGUGAGUGGCGAACUGGUGAGUAACACGUGGGAAACCUGCCCAGAAGCGGGGGAUAACACCUGGAAACAGAUGCUAAUACCGCAUAACAACUUGGACCGCAUGGUCCGAGCUUGAAAGAUGGCUUCGGCUAUCACUUUUGGAUGGUCCCGCGGCGUAUUAGCUAGAUGGUGRGGUAACGGCUCACCAUGGCAAUGAUACGUAGCCGACCUGAGAGGGUAAUCGGCCACAUUGGGACUGAGACACGGCCCAAACUCCUACGGGAGGCAGCAGUAGGGAAUCUUCCACAAUGGACGAAAGUCUGAUGGAGCAACGCCGCGUGAGUGAAGAAGGGUUUCGGCUCGUAAAACUCUGUUGUUAAAGAAGAACAUAUCUGAGAGUAACUGUUCAGGUAUUGACGGUAUUUAACCAGAAAGCCACGGCUAACUACGUGCCAGCAGCCGCGGUAAUACGUAGGUGGCAAGCGUUGUCCGGAUUUAUUGGGCGUAAAGCGAGCGCAGGCGGUUUUUUAAGUCUGAUGUGAAAGCCUUCGGCUCAACCGAAGAAGUGCAUCGGAAACUGGGAAACUUGAGUGCAGAAGAGGACAGUGGAACUCCAUGUGUAGCGGUGAAAUGCGUAGAUAUAUGGAAGAACACCAGUGGCGAAGGCGGCUGUCUGGUCUGUAACUGACGCUGAGGCUCGAAAGUAUGGGUAGCAAACAGGAUUAGAUACCCUGGUAGUCCAUACCGUAAACGAUGAAUGCUAAGUGUUGGAGGGUUUCCGCCCUUCAGUGCUGCAGCUAACGCAUUAAGCAUUCCGCCUGGGGAGUACGGCCGCAAGGCUGAAACUCAAAGGAAUUGACGGGGGCCCGCACAAGCGGUGGAGCAUGUGGUUUAAUUCGAAGCUACGCGAAGAACCUUACCAGGUCUUGACAUACUAUGCAAAUCUAAGAGAUUAGACGUUCCCUUCGGGGACAUGGAUACAGGUGGUGCAUGGUUGUCGUCAGCUCGUGUCGUGAGAUGUUGGGUUAAGUCCCGCAACGAGCGCAACCCUUAUUAUCAGUUGCCAGCAUUAAGUUGGGCACUCUGGUGAGACUGCCGGUGACAAACCGGAGGAAGGUGGGGAUGACGUCAAAUCAUCAUGCCCCUUAUGACCUGGGCUACACACGUGCUACAAUGGAUGGUACAACGAGUUGCGAACUCGCGAGAGUAAGCUAAUCUCUUAAAGCCAUUCUCAGUUCGGAUUGUAGGCUGCAACUCGCCUACAUGAAGUCGGAAUCGCUAGUAAUCGCGGAUCAGCAUGCCGCGGUGAAUACGUUCCCGGGCCUUGUACACACCGCCCGUCACACCAUGAGAGUUUGUAACACCCAAAGUCGGUGGGGUAACCUUUUAGGAACCAGCCGCCUAAGUG